rnacentral:rRNA from 1 species
GAUGAACGCUAGCGGCAGGCUUAAUACAUGCAAGUCGAGGGGCAGCAGUUUUGUAGCAAUACAGAAGCUGGCGACCGGCAAACGGGUGCGGAACACGUACGCAACCUUCCUUUAACUGGAAGAUAGCCCACCGAAAGGUGGAUUAAUACUCCAUAACAUAUUGAAGAGGCAUCUCUUUGAUAUUAAAGCUCCGGCGGUUAAAGAUGGGCGUGCGUCUGAUUAGGUAGUUGGCGGGGUAACGGCCCACCAAGCCUUCGAUCAGUAGCUGAUGUGAGAGCAUGAUCAGCCACACGGGCACUGAGACGCGGGCCCGACUCCUACGGGAGGCAGCAGUAAGGAAUAUUGGUCAAUGGACGCAAGUCUGAACCAGCCAUGCCGCGUGGAGGAUGAAGGCCCUCUGGGUUGUAAACUUCUUUUCUUUGGGACGAAACCCCUGUUUCUACGGGGACUGACGGUACCAGAGGAAUAAGCACCGGCUAACUCCGUGCCAGCCGCCGCCGUAACAC